rnacentral:rRNA from 1 species
AUUUGAAAGGGAUUAAAGAUUUAUCGGUGAUGGAUGGGGAUGCGUCUGAUUAGCUUGUUGGCGGGGUAACGGCCCACCAAGGCGACGAUCAGUAGGGGUUCUGAGAGGAAGGUCCCCCACAUUGGAACUGAGACACGGUCCAAACUCCUACGGGAGGCAGCAGUGAGGAAUAUUGGUCAAUGGGCGAGAGCCUGAACCAGCCAAGUAGCGUGCAGGAUGAUGGCCCUAUGGGUUGUAAACUGCUUUUAUAAGGGAAUAAAGUGAGUCUCGUGAGACUUUUUGCAUGUACCUUAUGAAUAAGGACCGGCUAAUUCCGUGCCAGCAGCCGCGGUAAUACGGAAGGUCCGGGCGUUAUCCGGAUUUAUUGGGUUUAAAGGGAGCGUAGGCCGGAGAUUAAGCGUGUUGUGAAAUGUAGACGCUCAACGUCUGCACUGCAGCGCGAACUGGUUUCCUUGAGUACGCACAAAGUGGGCGGAAUUCGUGGUGUAGCGGUGAAAUGCUUAGAUAUCACGAAGAACUCCGAUUGCGAAGGCAGCUCACUGGAGCGCAACUGACGCUGAAGCUCGAAAGUGCGGGUAUCGAACAGGAUUAGAUACCCUGGUAGUCCGCACGGUAAACGAUGGAUGCCCGCUGUUGGUCUGAAUAGGUCAGCGGCCAAGCGAAAGCAUUAAGCAUCCCACCUGGGGAGUACGCCGGCAA